UGGCUACCCUUAUGUUGAUUAUAAAACCCUUUUAGCUUGAACAUAGAAAACUAAAAUAGAAGAACCAUUAGGUGUUUUAUUGCCAAUAACAGUUCCCAGAGAGAACCCAAAGAGGCAAGUACAGCAUGUCUGCCUUAAGGCGCAGCAAUCUUGAUGUGAGGAAAGUAAAGGCUUUACUUAUCUUUCUGCUUUGAAGAGGGACUUAAGGUCUCUGGCUUACAGGAAUAGUCAGGCGUGUUUUUCGAGUUCACCUGUGAAGACGUAAGAGGUAGAAGUUUAAUCCUAAUUUCACUGAGGUAGCACUUGGUAAGGUUUCUUUCAUUUAAGCUGCAACUGAUCUAAAGAGCAUCUUUCUAUGAAAGGCUUGUUUAGGAAUUUCUGAUGUUGGAAUUUUUGUCGAAAGCUCCCUAAUUCCUUGGAACACCUACUGCAGCUUCCCUGUCCACAGUGUGUCUGUAUCAGUGGCUUUUAAGCAAAUACAAGGCAUGCAAUCCAAAUCCUGGAAUCCAUAUUUGAUAGAAUUCUGCCAUCAGCAAUUCCCAGUGUUGGAGCUUCUGUUAGAAGCUCCCUAAUUCUUUGGAACAACUCUUGUAGCUAUCCUGUCCAGCACAGUGUCUGCAUCCGGGCCUCUUUAAAGCUAUAUACAAAAGCUUGGGAUCCAAAUCUUGGAAUGCAAAUUCCACAGAAUCUUGCUGUUCCCAGAAAUAUCCUCGGCUGCCUUUCAAAUAUAGAAUAGCUUUCCUUCUCUUGACUUUAAGAACACACUCUUCUGGAGUUAGAACAUAUCCCAUGUAAUCUAUCUCUAGUUUAGAAACCUGAGCUUUGUUUGGGAAGUUCUGUAUCCUCACUAUCCCAGAUUCUGGGUUUAGUGGGAUGCAGAAGAAAUUACCCCUUAGGCAAAGGUUUAGAACAUGAUAAGAUGCAUUGAAUCAGCUGUCUUAUUAGUAGUCCUGAGGCUUUUAACCAUCUGUACUCUGUAUCUGACCUUAUGUUAAAACAUAGGAGAUAGGAAUUUCACAGAGACAUGGAUCUAAGAGUUCAUAUUUUAAGGCACUUAACUUUGAAGAAACACCUAAGAAUACAGACAGUGGAGUUUGACACUUAGACAUAGAACUUAUGAUGCAUAACAAUAUCACACACUAGGGCCGGCACCAUGGCUCACUAGGCUAAUCCUCCACCUGCGACACCGGCACCCCGGGUUCUAGUCCUGGUUGGGGCGCUGGAUUCUGUCCCAGUUGCUCUUCUUCCAGUCCAGCGCUCUGCUGUGGCCUGGGAAGGCAGUGGAGGAUGGCCCAGUUCCUUGGUCCCUGCACCUGCAUGGGAGGCCAGGAAGAAGCACCUAGCUCCUGGCUUUGGAUCGACGCAGCACACCGGCCGUAGUGGCCAUUUGGGGGAUGAACCAAUGGAAGGAAGACCUUUCUCUCUGUCUCUCUCUCUCUCACUGUCUAACUCUGCCUGUCAAAAAAAAAAAAAAAAAAAAAAGAA